rnacentral:tRNA from 1 species
GGUCUCGUGGCCGAGUGGUUAGGCAAGGCUCUGCAAAAGCCUGUACAGCGGUUCGAAUCCGCUCGAGACCUCCA